rnacentral:rRNA from 1 species
AGUGAACGCUGGCGGUAGGCCUAACACAUGCAAGUCGAACGGCAGCACAGUAAGAGCUUGCUCUUACGGGUGGCGAGUGGCGGACGGGUGAGGAAUACAUCGGAAUCUACUUUUUCGUGGGGGAUAACGUAGGGAAACUUACGCUAUUACCGCAUACGACCUACGGGUGAAAGCAGGGGAUCUUCGGACCUUGCGCGAUUGAAUGAGCCGAUGUCGGAUUAGCUAGUUGGCGGGGUAAAGGCCCGCCAAGGCGACGAUCCGUAGCUGGUCUGAGAGGAUGAUCAGCCACACUGGAACUGAGACACGGUCCAGACUCCUACGGGAGGCAGCAGUGGGGAAUAUUGGACAAUGGGCGCAAGCCUGAUCCAGCCAUACCGCGUGGGUGAAGAAGGCCUUCGGGUUGUAAAGCCCUUUUGUUGGGAAAGAAAAGCAGCAGGUUAAUACCCCGCUGUUCUGACGGUACCCAAAGAAUAAGCACCGGCUAACUUCGUG